UCUGAAAUCGAUCCCGAGCAGUGGACAUCAUUUUCUCGCUGAGCAGCGGAUAUUCAAAAUCGAGCGAGGACACGAAUGACCCUCGUCAUAUAUUCAACGCAUAUUUAUACAAAAAAGAAAAUUUUUUUU